rnacentral:rRNA from 1 species
CCCUUAGAUGUUCUGGGCCGCACGCGCGCUACACUGAUGCAUUCAACGAGUUUCUUCCUGGUCCGAGAGGAAUGGGUAACCUUUUGAAAGUGCAUCGUGAUAGGGAUAGACUAUUGCAAUUAUUGAUCUUCAACGAGGAAUUCCUAGUAAGUAUGUGUCAUCAUCACGCACUGAUUACGUCCCUGCCCUUUGUACACACCGCCCGUCGCUCCUACCGAUUGAGUGAGCCGAUGAAACUGCCGGAUGUGGACUAUUCAUAGUCUGCAGAAGAUAUUUGAAUCGUAGCGCUUAGAGGAAGGAGAAGUCGUAACA